AGCACGAAUUACCAUCAUUCCUUAGGAAUGGUGGGCUAUGUGAUGUGCUUUUGAGUUGCCAAACCCACCCUUGAGGUGGGUUUU
rnacentral:sRNA from 1 species